rnacentral:rRNA from 1 species
ACACGACUACAUUAGACUACCCGCGUAGUCCUAGCCGUAAACGAUACUCGCUAGGUGUCGGCCACGGUGCGACCGUUGUCGGUGCCGUAGGGAAGCCGUGAAGCGAGCCACCUGGGAAGUACGGCCGCAAGGCUAGAAAACUUAAAGGAAUUGGCGGGGGAGCACCACAACGGGUGGAGCUUGCGGUUUAAUUGGAUUCAACGCCGGAAAUCUUACCGGGACCGACAGCAACAUGAAGGCCAGGCUGAAGACUUUGCCGGAUUAGCUG